AAACCUUCUAGUCUCCAGAUAUCUUAUCAUUUCCUACACCCAUUGAGCUAUAUAGAUGCUUUCUAUAAUUUCCAAUUUUCAUAUCUGUAGAUGCCAUAAUUUCAGAAGUAGACAGAGGAAAGUAGUCAAUGGAUUUCUUUCCUCACUGGUUUUUUUCUGAGGCAGGAAACAUUUAUCUGUUUUUUGCAUAAAGUCCAUAGCAAACGUGUGCUCCAAAGUCAACUCCUCCUAAUACGUUUCACAAAUACUUUAAACACUCAGAAAUAUGUAAAGAUAUAGCAAACUGAAAGAAAGUUCUGGCCAAUUACUCGUUACUUCAAGUCUAGUGAUUCUUUUUUCUUUGAAACUAAAAAGGCAAGAUUGAAAUCUGUAUGAACAGGUACAGAAGUGGUAAAUGGCUUGAAUGAGAAAAGAUCAAGGUCUAUUAUAAUUAGAAACAGGAGUUUACUGAGGAUCCGUUCUAAGGUUUCUGAAAAAAUCGAAAUAUGUUUUAGGAGCUAACAGUCUAGCAGGAAUUCAUGGUAAGCAUACAUUUAACUCAACUUUAGCUGUGAUGAGUACACAGAAGGAACCUUAUGGAGGAAGUAAGAUUUGAAUUGUAUCUCAAGACCCUCGCAGGAUUUCAGUAGGUGUGAAAAGAACCAUAGGUGUUUCUCGCAAAGGAGCAGUAGUCCUAAUGGUACUGAUAUGCAAACGUGCACGUUGGACUCAAGGGCCGAUGAAUGGUCCCGUGGAUUGGAUUGUAGCAGGAGUGUGAGGGCCAGGAUAUGAGGCUGGAAACAUCAUCUGGGAUUGCAAAGCUGUCAGACGCUGUGCUAACAUAUUUUGAUUGUGAUUCGUAAAGGGGGGGGGGUUGGAACAGAGGAGAGGCCUGAUUUGACUUGUAUUUUACAGGAAUAGAGCUGAAAGCAUCAGGAAAGGUAGACCAGAAGGACAAGAGAUUGGAGAUCAUCCCACCCAAGAUAGAUGAUGAAGGCUGGCAUUUGGGUUGGAUUGAAGACAGAGUCCAUGAUUUCUUUUCCAGAGGUAGACCCACCAGAGUUUGGUUGCUAGGUAGAUACAGAGGUGUAAGUGAAAGAGAGGCCUCAAAGCCUGAGACCCCACUGGCCAGUGACCCCACUGAAAUGGGGCCAUGGUGAGUGAGCACGUAGUGCAGCUUUGGUGGGGGGCGAUAAUCAAUUCAUUGACUAUCUCAAAAUGUAUGAGAAAUUUGUGAAACUAUGUCACAACUGUGGUAGCAACUAUGCAAACACAAAUCAAUUUUUAUAAUUCAUUCUUAAAUGUGCGUGGUCGCCUGGUGAGGAUGGUAAGCCACACCACACACCCCCAGGGAAAAAUCAGGACAGGAACCAUGAGAGCCCGCCCUUCAGGCCCCUAAGAAGUCUGUGCAGGUUCAGCACCGAGGCCACCUAGCUCUCCGCCCCGUGCCCACAGCUCCAGGCCAGGUAUUACAUACAUCUCUCCUUCUCUUCUUUAAAGGCACCCAUUCACUGAUGUUUCCCAGCCUCUGGAUGUAAAAGAUGGAGCUUUGGGAAAAGCAGAAUACAAUGAAUGAGACGGGAACAAGCAUGGCAAGUCCGGGAAACCCAUAGAGCCUCCGCGCCUUCCACAAAGUACCGGGUGAUACGGGAGUUAGAUUGGAGCCUUGAUAGAUGAGAGCCUCUCUGUCUUGGAAAUGCAAUAUGAAACGAACCCGUGUGGCAGUCCUGGACACCGUUUGUCCACCUACAGGUCUAUGAAGAUGUACACACAUUUGCGGAGCAGCAACUCCUACUUUGGAAGCCGACUCAUUUCAAAUGGACAGCCCAGGAAGUACGCCUCUGAAGAGCUCAAUCUGGACACACAGUGGCUUAGAAGAACCCACAAAAUGCCAGACCCGCAAACUGUAAUCCUUAAAUGAAACUCAUCGCUCAGCAGAAAAACAAGUUAAGGGCGGUAAUUCAAUGAUAGACGAAACAGGCCGGAACAGGUUCAAAUGCUGCAUAUUUCACAACAGAGCUUAAUUAAAAUAGGACUAUGAGGCUGUUAAUUGCAUUAUAAUAGUUCAGCAUGAAAUUAGGUCUGAUGUGAAUGUCCUUAUAGUGGAUUUGUUUAUGUUAUUAUAAUUACACAGUGGUACAUACACUUACUGCAUAGAUACAUUUUUAACAGGCCGGCUCUUGGGGGUGGAUUUCUUUUCUUUCCUCACUGGAAUUUGCACUCUAUUUACAAGUGUGGAAAGUCGGCAAGAGGGAACCAGGGUCAGGAAAUUAGGUCAUACUGGAUAAUCCAUUUGGUCUCCUGGGUAUUUAAAGCUUAGAACUCCAAAUAAGUUGUGUCUUGUUGAUGGUGAUUUUAUUCACCAUUUCAUUGGGAGAGACUAUGUCACUAAAAAACUAGGUCUCAGUAAGAUGGGUGUUUUGUGUUGUCUUAGAAAGCAACACCUUUCUUGAGAAUCAAUGAAUGCAAAUGUCUGACUAAAUGUGUCUGUAGUACCACAAUAUCAUGUUUUCCAGUGUAGAUUUUAAAAAAUGGCAACAUUUCCAAGAUUUGGGUCUAGUAAAAAAUAGUAAUUCUGGUUCACAGGAUGGAAAAAACAUGGCAGGACUUAGUUUGGUUUUCCAAAUAUAAAAAUGGAUUUACAUUUUUCCUUGAUUCAUCCGUAGUUUCCACUUUCUGGACAGAGACGUACUUGGCUCACAUGAAAAUCUCACCUAUGACCUUGGCUUCAACACUAAACGCUGAGAUACUAUCAGCAGUUUUGGAAGCAAAUAUUACACAUUUGGUAAUGUUUUCAAUUUUCAUCGAGAUCUUUUUAUUUCCCUGCAAACUAUAGAUCUCAGCAAUUUUGCAAGUUUCUUCAUUUUGUAUGUUGCUUUGAAAUAAAAGGGCAAAAAAUUAAUAGAAGAUUACCCAUAAAUAAAUUAGGUAAGCAAGACGA